rnacentral:rRNA from 1 species
CGGGGGUGCCGUCGGGAGCCGAUAGAAGGUGCUGCAUGGCUGUCGUCAGCUCGUGUCGUGAGAUGUUGGGUUAAGUCCCGUAACGAGCGCAACCCUUGCCCUUAGUUGCCAGCGCGUCAUGGCGGAAACUCUAAGGGAACUGCCGGUAAUAAACCGAAGGAAGGUGGGGAUGACUUCAAUUCAUCAGGGCCCUUAUGGGCUGGGCUACACACUUGCUACAAUGGCCGGUACAAAGGGUUGCCACCCCCCAAGGGGGACCCAAUCUCAAAAAACCGGUCUUAUUCCGGAUCGCAUUCUGCAACUCGACGGCUUGAAUUCGGAAUCCCUAGUAAUCGCGAACCACAAGGUCCCGGUGAAUACUUUCCCGGGCCUUGU